GACGAACGCUGGCGGCGUGCCUAAUACAUGCAAGUCGAACGCUUUUUCUUUCACCGGAGCUUGCUCCACCGAAAGAAAAAGAGUGGCGAACGGGUGAGUAACACGUGGGUAACCUGCCCAUCAGAAGGGGAUAACACUUGGAAACAGGUGCUAAUACCGUAUAACACUAUUUUCCGCAUGGAAGAAAGUUGAAAGGCGCUUUUGCGUCACUGAUGGAUGGACCCGCGGUGGAUUAGCUAGUUGGUGAGGUAACGGCUCACCAAGGCAACGAUGCAUAGCCGACCUGGGAGGAUGAUCGGCCACACUGGGACUGAGACACGGCCCAGACUCCUACGGGAGGCAGCAGUAGGGAAUCUUCGGCAAUGGCCGAAAGUCUGAACGAGCAACGCCGCGUGAGUGAAGAAGGUUUUCGGAUCGUAAAACUCUGUUGUUAGAGAAGAACAAGGAUGAGAGUAGAACGUUCAUCCCUUGACGGUAUCUAACCAGAAAGCCACGGCUAACUACGUGCCAGCAGCCGCCGUAA
rnacentral:rRNA from 1 species